rnacentral:rRNA from 1 species
CUACGGGAGGCUGCCGUGGGGAAUAUUGCACAAUGGAGGAAACUCUGAUGCAGCAACGCCGCGUGGAGGAUGACACUUUUCGGAGCGUAAACUCCUUUUAUAUAGGAAGAAGAUGACGGUACUAUAUGAAUAAGCGCCGGCUAACUCCGUGCCAGCAGCCGCGGUAAUACGGAGGGCGCAAGCGUUACUCGGAAUCACUGGGCGUAAAGAGCGUGUAGGCGGAUUAAAAAGUCAGAAGUGAAAUCCUAUAGCUUAACUAUAGAACUGCUUCUGAAACUCUUAAUCUAGAAUAUGGGAGAGGUAGAUGGAAUUUCUGGUGUAGGGGUAAAAUCCGUAGAGAUCAGAAGGAAUACCGAUUGCGAAGGCGAUCUACUAGAACAUUAUUGACGCUGAGACACGAAAGCGUGGGGAGCAAACAGGAUUAGAUACCCCCGUAGUC